ACCCCGAUUCUCGCCCAGCCCCCAGCCCCAUCCGCCCAGGCUCGCACCGCGCGCUCACCACGUCUGCGCCUCGGCGCCACGGCCCAGCCCAGGCGAGGUGCUCAGGCUGCCGGGUGCGGCGACAGGCCACACGCUCCUACCUGGGAGGAGCUGCCAGCCGGUCCUCCUCCUCCUCCUCUUCGCCCGCCCGGCAGAGCCAGCACCACCUGGCAAGGGACCGUCAGCAAAUUCCCCUCCGCACCACCGCGGGGGCGGCAUCCCCGCCCCUCCCAGCAGGAACCAGCCGCGGCUCCGCCCCGAGGCUGCUCGGACCUGUCGGGGAACCCAGGGUGGAUCAGCAGAUGCACAGGCCCAGGCUCCGCCUCGGAGAUCCUAUCGCUACCAGAAACCAUCUGCAAAUUCCCAUCGCACACGCACAAGGCUGCCCGUCCCUUGCUGCAGUUUGCUCUGGCGUCCCCGGCUGCCACUCUGGGGCCUCCGCAGCUGCUGGGCCGCCUUCCCUCCGCCAGAACUCUCCUCCGAGGCCUCCUAAUCCCAGCAGCCCGGCCAGGAGCAGGAAAAGAUACAGAACCCCACGAAGGCAGCGCUCUGCCCCGCCCAGGGACCACCUCGCGGUGCGGUUGGGCAGGACCCCAAACCUCCGCUGGAGAGGAUAGGAGCUGUCCGUGGGCAUGGUGUGGAGCAGUCAUGGGACAAACACUUGACAGGAGCACAGGAGGCCCUGGGGUGUGUGCAGUGCAUGCAGCUUGUUCACAGCCAGAGAGGCCACCUUGGGGACAAAGGGCAAAUGAGCUCUUGGACCUUAACUCAGGACCUAUGGUAUGUAUUCUUUCCUACCCUCAGUCCCCCAAACAGUCUGACUGGUCUAAAAAAACAGGUGCUUUAUGAAAACCAGGAUGUCCUAAACCUGCUGUUGUGCUGGAUGCCUAUAAUCAUAGCACUCUGGAAGGCCCAGGCAAG
rnacentral:lncRNA from 1 species